UCCGAGUUGACCCCGGCAGUCUCUUAUGAGUCCCCACCAUUACGUGCUGGCAACAUAGAACGAGGGUUGCGCUCGUUGCGGGACUUAACCCAACAUCUCACGACACGAGCUGACGACAACCAUGCACCACCUGUACAGGACCCUUACGGACCCCCCAUCUCUGGAGGAUUUCCCUGUAUGUCAAGCCUUGGUAAGGUUCUUCGCGUUGCGUCGAAUUAAGCCGCAUGCUCCGCCGCUUGUGCGGGCCCCCGUCAAUUUCUUUGAGUUUCACCGUUGCCGGCGUACUCCCCAGGUGGAGGACUUAACGGUUUCCCUAAGCCGCUGAACCUUGACAGCCCAACAGCGAGUCCUCAUCGUUUACGGCAUGGACUAC
rnacentral:misc_RNA from 1 species